GAACGCUGCAGUCCUUGGAGGGAGGCCUGCCGGGGUGUUCCAACCGAGUGUGCUGAUCAAGUUAUCUAGAACCCGCCAGGGUGAAGAGAUGCCAGUCCACAUCUCCGUAGGAAAAUUCCCCAAACACAAACUCCAAAGCCUGGGUGCUGAGCAGAAUGGCUUCCCAAAAUAGAAAGCCAUACUGGACACUCUGCCUCCCUUCCAGCUGCAUGGGCCGGGCACUUUCAGCCAAUGAGCAGCUUUCAUUUCUGGUCCUGGAAAUCUCCUGUGCUGGAGUCCUGUGUUGGCUCCCUUCUAGCUUCGUGAUGCAGAUGAACAUGGAAGCCACGUGCUGGAGGCGGCAGAGCCAGAAGAAAGUAGCACAAGCCCUGUGCCUGCGUGGAAGAGCAUCUGUUCUGUAUCUUCUGUGAGCACGAAAUAAAUAUUUGUGG